UACAGAGGGUGCGAGCGUUGUUCGGAAUUACUGGGCGUAAAGCGCGCGCAGGCGGCUCUUUAAGUCUCGUGUUCAAAUGCCGGGGCUCAACCCCGAGCGUGCCGGGGAUACUGGAGGGCUGGAGACAGGUAGAGGCAAGCGGAAUUCCGGGUGUAGCGGUGGAAUGCGUAGAGAUCCGGAAGAACACCGGAGGCGAAGGCGGCUUGCUGGACCUGGUCUGACGCUGAGGCGCGACAGCGUGGGGAGCAAACAGG
rnacentral:rRNA from 1 species